UUCUUGGCCCUGGGAAAGCCCGCGGGGGGCCGUGGGGUGGGGUUGCCUGGGGCGCAGGGGGGAUGUUGGAGAGGGAGGGGUCCCAGCCCUCUGGGUGGGGACACGGGGCCCCCAGCCAGCAUUUGUGCACUGGCUACUUCCCCAGCGCUAGGCCCCGGAAGGAAGCGGAUACUUGAAGCUGCGCUGGGCCUCAAUUCUCCAUCUGUGCAGUGGGCUGCUAGCAGGAGAGUGAGGUUUUAUGGGGCUGGGGAAUCGAACCCAGGGCCUCCUGCCUGCUAGGCAAGCACUGUACCACCCUGCGUACCACCCAGCCUGUAGCAGCUAUCAGAUGCUGCCCACCUCUGCACUGGGGAUUGGACCCAGGGCCUUUGCCCUGAGCUACAUCCCCAGCUCUUGUUUAUUUCAACAAAGGUCACACUGAGUCACUAACUUGCCCAGGCUGGACUCUACCUUCUCACUCUCCUGCCUCAGCCUCCCAGAGUGCUGGGAUUACAGGUGUGGGGCACUUGUUGAGGAAAAGUCACUUCCUUCUGCCUCCUGCAGGCAAAUGUUGAUUGAGCACCUAUUACCUGCUGGCAUUGUGUUGGGCCUCGAGGUUAAAGCGGUGACUGAGAGAAAAGUCUGAGAAGACGAGGCUUCAGAGACGAGACUCCAGAGCCAAAUCAAGAGGAAAAACCCAUCUGGGAGAAUCGGGUAGAGCCGCGGGACACAGAGAUCUCCAAGACACGCUGGGCGAAGACAGACAGUGGAUGUCCCUCGAGACCGGACUGCUAGAUGGAACAAAUCAGACCCAGAAGGUUGAACAUCACAUGGAGACAGGAGCUCCCGGGUCUGCCUGCUGACGGCCGCCUCCUCCGGACUCCAGGGGAGCUGCCGAGGACAGGAAGGAAGGGGCUGCAGUCAAGGGAGAGUCGCUGCCGGAAGUCACGGGGCCUCUCUGAUCCGCAGAGCCCCCUAAGGCUCAACACAGAGCCUGGACACGGAGAUGGAGAGGGACUCACUUCACAGUCGGGAGGAAGAUCAUGUGAGAAAACGCGUAUACCAGGCCGGGCGUGGUGCCCAGCACUCAGGAGGCUGAAGCAGGAGGAUUGCUGUGAAGUCGCGGCCUAGACUACGUGGCCAGACGCUGUCUCAGAAACAGCCAGGUUUCUGUAAAUGUCUUUGUAAGUGACAUCAUGCAACAGUGUCACUAUUAAUUCUUUUCUUUCAUCUUCCCUGCCUCACCUCUGAGUCCCUGCCCAUCCUGUCCUCCACUACCUCUCCUGUCCUCCUGUCACACUUUAACAGAGUGUUUCUUACAGGUGGGCGACCCUAUUUGAAAUAUCUCAAUUUGUCUUCCCCAAAACUUUAUGAGAUGAAUUCUCUGUUUAUUUUCAUUUCCCAGGGAAGGAAACAAGUACAGAGAGGCCAAGACACCGGCCCAAAGCAAAUGGCUUAUACGUAUGGUACACAUUUGAGACUCAAAUCCAAAUAUUCUGAUGUUAAAGUCAUCAGAACUUCUAACUACAGCUGUAUCCCGAUUCCCCUUUGCCUAUCAAAACCUCCCAACCAAUCCGGCCAGCAGGGAAUCAAGGCAGAUAUUCUCUGGCUCCUCUACCUGGGGAACAGAUUUUUGUGACACAUCAGUCAUUUACACAUUAGUCUAAAUGACAGCCUACUUUCCAAAUUUCUUUCCUGACCUGUCUCUGUGCCCCAGAGCUGUUUGUAACUCCCCAGCUUAGCAUUUGCCACAGGCAUUGUAAUCAUCCUCUGUCCCCCGUGGAGAUAAACUUGUGGAUUGGAUCACCGAGGGUGGUAUUUAUUGGUUUCAGCAUCCCUGGAGAAUCACCCAGCUGACACUAGGCGAGAAGUGAUGAACAAAACUAAUGAAAUGAGUUAAUAAAACCUGUCCCAGUGAACGGCAUGCACAAGAAUAAACCUUGGCCAUUUCCCUGUUAGUGAGACGACAGCGCUAGGGUACUUGGAGUGAGGACCAGCUGGCCAGAAAGAACCGGUCAUAGAGACCCAAGGCCCCUUCCGCUCCCAGGAACCUCCCCCAGCACCGCCUGUGCGUCCUUCCUCCUCCCUGAAGUCCUCAGGGACACCCACCUCCUAACCGUCC
rnacentral:lncRNA from 1 species